GACGAACGCUGGCGGCGUGCCUAAUACAUGCAAGUUGAGCGAUGAAGAUUGGUGCUUGCACCAAUUUGAAGAGCAGCGAACGGGUGAGUAACGCGUGGGGAAUCUGCCUUUUAGCGGGGGACAACAUUUGGAAACGAAUGCUAAUACCGCAUAACAACUUUAAACAUAAGUUUUAAGUUUGAAAGAUGCAAUUGCAUCACUCAAAGAUGAUCCCGCGUUGUAUUAGCUAGUUGGUGAGGUAAAGGCUCACCAAGGCGAUGAUACAUAGCCGACCUGAGAGGGUGAUCGGCCACAGUGGGAAUGAGACACGGCCCAAACUCCUACGGGAGGCAGAAGUAGGGAAUCUUCGGCAAUGGACGAAAGUCUGACAGAGCAACGCCGCGGGAGGGAAGAAGGGUGUCGGAUCGUAAAAAUCUGUUGGUAGAGAAGAAAGUUGGUGAGAGUGGAAAGCUCAUCAAGUGACGGUAACUAACCAGAAAGGGACGGCUAACUACGUG
rnacentral:rRNA from 1 species